GACGAACGCUGGCGGCGUGCCUAAUACAUGCAAGUAGAACGCUGAAGAGAGGAGCUUGCUCUUCUUGGAUGAGUUGCGAACGGGUGAGUAACGCGUAGGUAACCUGCCUUGUAGCGGGGGAUAACUAUUGGAAACGAUAGCUAAUACCGCAUAACAAUGGAUGACACAUGUCAUUUAUUUGAAAGGGGCAAUUGCUCCACUACAAGAUGGACCUGCGUUGUAUUAGCUAGUAGGCGAGGUAAGGGCUCACCUAGGCGACGAUACAUAGCCGACCUGAGAGGGUGAUCGGCCACACUGGGACUGAGACACGGCCCAGACUCCUACGGGAGGCAGCAGUAGGGAAUCUUCGGCAAUGGGGGCAACCCUGACCGAGCAACGCCGCGUGAGUGAAGAAGGUUUUCGGAUCGUAAAGCUCUGUUGUAAGUCAAGAACGGGUGUGAGAGUGGAAAGUUCACACUGUGACGGUAGCUUACCAGAAAGGGACGGCUAACUACGUG
rnacentral:rRNA from 1 species